UACGGAGGGGGCUAGCGUUGUUCGGAAUUACUGGGCGUAAAGCGCACGUAGGCGGCUUUUUAAGUCAGAGGUGAAAGCCCGGGGCUCAACCCCGGAAUUGCCUUUGAGACUGGAUCGCUUGAACGUCGGAGAGGUGAGUGGAAUUCCGAGUGUAGAGGUGAAAUUCGUAGAUAUUCGGAAGAACACCAGUGGCGAAGGCGGCUCACUGGACGACUGUGACGCUGAGGUGCGAAAGCGUGGGGAGCAAACAGG
rnacentral:rRNA from 1 species